rnacentral:rRNA from 1 species
GAUGAACGCUGACAGAAUGCUUAACACAUGCAAGUCGACUUGAACUUCGGUUUGUGUGGCGGACGGGUGAGUAACGCGUAAAGAACUUGCCUCACAGCUAGGGACAACAUUUUUAAACGAAUGCUAAUACCUGAUAUUAUGAUAUUAGGGCAUCCUAGAAUUAUGAAAGCUAUGUGCGCUGUGAUAGAGCUUUUCGUCCCAUUAGCUAGUUGGAGAGGUAACGUCUCACAAAGGCGAGGAUGGGUGGCCGGCCUGGGUGGGUGAACGGCAAGAAGGGGCCGGGGAAACGGCCAGUACUCCAACGGGAGGCAGCAGGGGGGAAUAUUGGAAAAUGGACCAAGAGUCUGAUACAGAAAUUCUGUGUGCAAGAUGAAGUUUUUCGGAAUGUAAAGUGCUUUCAGUUGGGAAGAAAAAAAUGACGGUACCAACAGAAGAAGUAACGGCUAAAUACGUG